ACCCUGAUUGAGCCAUCGGUGUGAAAGGGGUAUUGGUGAAAAGUUAAGAUCAGAGCGGAGUUUGGCAACAGGUAAUCAAUUACCGUGGGCAAACAAAGCAGGCUAGGAGCAGGUUGGAAGAGUACAUAGCUGAAAUUCAGUCAGGAACAGUUACACUUGGCGAUGAAGGCUCUAUUCUGAUGCUGCCUGGAUUAGUCCAAUGCCGCAGUUAAGACAACUGCCCCGGGAGCAAAUACAACCACCUCCUCCGCCCCCAUCAACAUAAUCAGUCUCAUUUCAGUCAUUGUGGCUGUGGUGACACCUGUACUUCACUCAGGUUGUUGAAGGUGUUAAAUGCAGUUCUUAUCCUGUGAAUGAAGUGAUGAAAAUCCAAAACAUCCAUCCAAAACAGGAACUGAAAUCAGAAAACAUCACGACUUCAUUCACGGCAGUGGACGCCAUUCAAGCAGAGAAUCAGCCCCUAGAGCAGAGAAGAGAAACUACAACAUCAUCACCAUGAUUGCAAAGAUUUGUGUCAUCCUCCUUCUGUUCGUUGCUUCUGGCAACUCACAGACCACAGUGGCCACAACAGUAACAACAGCUGCACCCGCACUUAACACAACUGCCCCGGCAGGAAAUACAACUGCCCCGGCCUCCUCCGCCCUCAUCAACAAAAUCAGUCUCUUUUCAGUCGUUGUGGCUGUGAUGACACCUGUACUCCACUCAGGUUGUUGAAGGUGUUAAGUGCAGUUCUUAUCCUGUGCAUGAAAGUGAUGAAAAUGUAAGGAUUUGUGUUUAUAUACUGUAAGCUAAUAUGCUAAUUGAUUUAGCUGUUUAAUGAUGCGUGUUUGUACACUGGACCCUCCUGGAGGUGUUUCUAAUUAAUACAAAUGCCUGUGAUGACUAUGUAAUGUUUUGAUUUAGAGGCCAGCGAGUGAAUCUGUCUAACGAAAUAUUAACAUUUUGUAUGUCGUCACAUGAUUAAAAAAAAAAAGAUGGUUUACAAUAAAGGUUUUGCAA